GAUGAACGCUGGCGGCGUGCCUAAUACAUGCAAGUCGAGCGAACGGACGAGAAGCUUGCUUCUCUGAUGUUAGCGGCGGACGGGUGAGUAACACGUGGAUAACCUACCUAUAAGACUGGGAUAACUUCGGGAAACCGGAGCUAAUACCGGAUAAUCUUUUGAACCGCAUGGUUCAAAAGUAAAAGACGGUCUUGCUGUCACUUAUAGAUGGAUCCGCGCUGCAUUAGCUAGUUGGUAAGGUAACGGCUUACCAAGGCAACGAUGCAUAGCCGACCUGAGAGGGGGAUCGGCCACAGUGGAACUGGGACACGGUCCAGACUCAUACGGGAGGCAGAAGUAGGGAAUCUUCCGAAAUGGGCGAAAGCCUGACGGAGAAACGCCGCGUGAGUGAUGAAGGUCUUCGGAUCGUAAAACUCUGUUAUUAGGGAAGAACAUAUGUGUAAGUAACUGUGCACAUCGUGACGGUACCGAAUCAGAAAGCCACGGCUAACUACGUG
rnacentral:rRNA from 1 species